rnacentral:sRNA from 1 species
GUUACUCUUAAAUAAUAGGGGUACGCAAUUACAUUGCGAAAUCCCAGCAUAGCAAGGUUUUUGCAAUGUCGAAGAGCGAAAAUAAGGUGGAAAAUGUUUUCAUUCCCCACCAAAACCCCACCAAGAAUUACUUCUUGGUGGGGUUCUUUU